GUGGGGAAUUUUGGACAAUGGGCGCAAGCCUGAUCCAGCAAUGCCGCGUGCAGGAAGAAGGCCUUCGGGUUGUAAACUGCUUUUGUACGAAACGAAACGGUCCUGGUUAAUACCUGGGGCUAAUGACGGUACCGUAAGAAUAAGCACCGGCUAACUACGUGCCAGCAGCCGCGGUAAUACGUAGGGUGCGAGCGUUAAUCGGAAUUACUGGGCGUAAAGCGUGCGCAGGCGGUGCUGUAAGACAGGCGUGAAAUCCCCGGGCUCAACCUGGGAAUUGCGCUUGUGACUGCAGUGCUGGAGUACGGCAGAGGGGGAUGGAAUUCCGCGUGUAGCAGUGAAAUGCGUAGAUAUGCGGAGGAACACCGAUGGCGAAGGCAGUCCCCUGGGCCUGUACUGACGCUCAUGCACGAAAGCGUGGGGAGCAAACAGGAUUAGAUACCCUGGUAGUCC
rnacentral:rRNA from 1 species